AUGAUUAUGCUGCUACUGUUUUCUCCCCAGAACAUUUGGUUCAAAAAAGAAGGCACUGCUUUUCGUGGUAAAAUGGCUGUGGUGAAACCCUCCAGCAGAGAACCAAAGAAUGCCGAAGAAUCAUUUAACAAGGUAUCAUCCCUCCUUUUGAAGAACCUAGUGGAGGAGCCCAAGAAAAGAACAGAGGUACCUAAUCACCUCCUAGAAUCAACACUAUUGGUUUAAAUGUCCAUAUCGGAAGAAGGAUUUAUCCCACCCCCCAUCACACGCAUCACUGUGGUCUGCUGACUGCCUGCUUAGGCCUCUGCCAUCUGCCAUGUGUAAAGGUGGGCCUGGAUCUUCAGUGUGAUCUAUUCUCCAUUUCAUUUCAUUUCUUGCCUUCAUUUGCCUAAGCUGCUAUCACAAAUAUUGCAAACUGGUUUUCGCAGUAAAUAGGAAUUUAUUGGCUUAUGGCUUUGAAACUAGAAGAAAUCCAAAAUGAGGAUAUCCGCAAUACUUUCUAUGGUAGUUUGAGGCUGUAUGAGACUGUGUGGACCCCAG
rnacentral:lncRNA from 1 species